rnacentral:rRNA from 1 species
CAGUAGCCGCGGGAAUACGGAGGGUGCAAGCGUUAAUCGGAAUUACUGGGCGUAAAGCGUGCGUAGGCGGUUAUAUAAGACAGAUGUGAAAUCCCCGGGCUCAACCUGGGAACUGCAUUUGUGACUGUAUAGCUAGAGUACGGCAGAGGGGGAUGGAAUUCCGCGUGUAGCAGUGAAAUGCGUAGAUAUGCGGAGGAACACCGAUGGCGAAGGCAAUCCCCUGGGCCUGUACUGACGCUCAUGCACGAAAGCGUGGGGAGCAAACAGGAUUAGAUACCCCGGUAGUCCCUGUCUCUUAUAC